GGGCCGUUAGCUCAGUUGGUAGAGCAACUGACUUUUAAUCAGUGGGUCGCAGGUUCGAAUCCUGCACGGCUCACCA
rnacentral:tRNA from 366 species